GCUUUAAACACCGGUUCUCGUACGGUCACUGAAGUUAAGCAACGUCGAGUCUGGUGAGUACCUAAAUGGGUGGCCGCUUGCGAAUACUGGGUACUGUAAG